UUUCUAUUUGUACCAUUGGGCUUUCACUGCCUUGUACUUUAUUUGAACUUUGCCAACUUCUCUUCCAUUACUAUUUAUUUGGCAACAUAACUUACCAGCUGCAAUUCUUCAGAUACACGAAGGGUCACUUGCUCAUAUGUGAUAAUUUGAUCAAAUUAUGCUGCUAGACUGAAAAAGGAAAAAUAAGAUUUUGUUACCUUCUCAAAAAAAAAAAAGGAAAAAUUAAAUUUGCUCUCUCAAUCUGUUAUUCCUGUCAAGUCUCUCCUUGAAUUUGUAUUAUAGCUCUUUGUCUUAUUGUCUUUAUUCUGUUGAAGCUCUCCUUCCUCUUACCCAUGUGUCAGUAGUAUUGUCAAUUGUGUCAAACGCGUCUCUUGAUGGAUUUUCAUUGAAGAGUAUUAGAGUGGUAGGUAUGUGUACAUUCUCCUUGCAUCGGGCAACUCUUUUGAGGUUUUUUAAUCUGGGAAAACGAUUUAAUAAUGCACCAUUAUUUUUCCCAUCUUAAUGGGCUGGUCAAACGGCCAGCAAAUGGAAGAUUCAUCUUGCUUUGACAGCUCUUUUUGGUGGAGAACGUGUAAGAUGCGGUCAUGCAUUUUGUUGUUUGAUGAUGUGCUACAUUUGUUCAUACUUAAUGGAUUAGAUAUGUUAACAAAUUAUACAAAGGAUUAACUUAUAUUUAGGAAUGACAGUUAAUGGAUCAAAUGUGUCAAAAACUCUCCGGCUUAUGGCACAGGAACUAGUAAAAAUUGAUGUGGACACUCAAACUGACCUACAACAACAACAACAACAACAAACCCAGUGUAUUCCCACUUAGUGGGGUCUGGGGGGGGUAAGAUGUACGCAGUCCAUACCUCUACCUCUGAUGAAGUAGAAAGGCUGUUUCCGAAAGACCCCCGGCUCAAGACACAAGAUAUCACACAAACACAUAGUAAAGCACAGAAGCAGAUGACAUAACAUAAAUACGGCACCCAUAAGAAAUAUAAAACAGCGGAAAGCAGAGGAAAGCACACAGAUUCGUAAUAAGCAUGGGACACUGAAUACGGAAUCAUAACGGGAAUAAAAAUAAAAAAAAACCCCACCGAGUAAUUCCCUACCCUAGCGACCCAAUCUGGCCCUACUCUUCUGCCGUAAUUCGCGUCUUCCAGACCUUCCUAUCUAGGGUCAUGUCCUCGGUAAGCUGUAACUGUUCCAUGUCCCGCCUAAUCACCUCACCCCAGUACUUCUUCGGCCUACCCCUACCCCGCCUAAAACCAUCCAACGCUAGCCUCUCACACCUACGGACCGGGGCAUCCACGCCCCUCCUCUUCACGUGUCCGAACCAUCUCAAUCGUGCUUCCCGCAUCUUACACUCCAACUGACCUAAUUGCCUUUAAUUUCUGAGCGAGGAGAGGAUAAAUUCUGUUCUAAUAUUUCUGACUUAUUUUUUUUUGAGAAUGGUAACAUUAAUAUUUCUGACUUAUGGGCCUCAUGUAAAAUAAGAUAGACCACCUAAGUGUUUGUCUAGUUGAACAUUGAUUAUGGAUUGGGCUGAAGAUGCUUUACCUUGUCCAAAGGGGAAUCAUGUCCUCUUUAGUUUGCCUUGCUUUUCAAGUCUUAUGAUGAUAAUGCACUAUGUUUUGGGUUAGAUUUCGUUGGCUAAUAGUUUAGGGAAAUAAGAUAGACCACCUAAGUAUUUGUCUAGUUGAACAUUGAUUAUGGAUUGGGCUGAAGAUGCUUUACCUUGUCCAAAGGGGAAUCAUGUCCUCUUUAGUUUGCCUUGCUUUUCAAGUCUUAUGAUGAUAAUGCACUAUGUUUUGGGUUAGAUUUCGUUGGCUAAUAGUUCAGGGAAGCUUGGAACAAAGUCUACCCCAAAUUAUUCUGUGCGGGUCGCUAGGUGUUAACUUUUUUGCCAUUUUGGGUGGCUCAAAACUCAAUUAAGUCUUCGAAUAUAAUUGAUGAUUGUAUAAGUUGAACCCUUCCAAUCCCGAUGUUCUGUUCAUUCACAGCCUAUUGAUGCAGCAUCUGGUCUAUCCAUCAAGAUUUCAUUUGUAUUAAUAUGGGGAACCCAUAUGUGUUGGUCCAUGGGCACCAUUGCAUAAGUGAGUAUGUUUGCUUUAAUGGUCUUGUUAUAUUUCUUUCACAAAUGUUUAGAUGAAAUAUGAAUUAAUCAAUUGACAACCUCAAUCUCCCUCAUACUGGAGUACUUUGCUAAUUUUCAUCCUCUGUGAAUGUAUUCUUUUCUUUAAAUGCCUUUUCUUUGGUGUCUCAUGAGUACGUCGCUAACAUUCAUCUUCUGUGAAUGUAUUAUUUUUUUGUAAUGCCUUUUCUUUGGUAUCUCAUAGUGAAAAUUCUGAUCUCUUACGUAUUUGGACUUUUCUUGAUACAGGGUGUUUAUUAUUAUUUCUAUCAAAUAUUGAGGAAUAGAGCAGAAACUAAUGCACUUGCACGUAAGAAGAAUGGAAUUGGUGAUGGAUCAGUUGGAAUGUUCUCAUCACUUCUGGUGGCUGCUUUAUCUGGGUAAUUUUCUUUUCUGUUGAACAUUAGUUUUUCAUGUCUCCUUUUGGUAGCCUGGUAAAUUUGUUGCAUUGACAAUGCAAGUAUCAACGACAUUCUGCCACAAUAAAACUUGAAUACUUGUCAAAUUAUCCUUAUAAAAAAAACUUGGAUUCCUGUCUUUAUUACAUUACGCUCUUUAAUUCAGAAAUUCAGUUGGCAUUCUUCUAUGCAUAAUAUUGAUAGUCUUAUUUUAUCUAGCCAAAACAUGUAACGUACAGACUAAUAGAUUUAUCUGGUUAAAAUGCUUUUUUAUAUAUUCUACUUUUUGUCGUUAAUCAUGAGCCUUUUGACUUUUUCUUUGUUACAGGUGUGUUAACGUGCUGCUGACCAAUCCCAUAUGGGUAGUUGUUACACGGAUGCAGGUAAAUACUCUGGGGUUCUCCUUUACUCCUCCUAUGAGAAAGAGUAUGAAAUUGGUCUAUUUAUUUAAUGUUUUGGUGAGUUUAGCUUAGCGACAGCUGACAAGUUUAUUGAUGUGGUUUGGUCUUUGAUUCUUUGUCCUUAAUGUUGUGGAGUAAUACCUUUUUAAAAGAUUUAUUCCUACCAGUUUCAACAUCCCGCGGGGAAUUUUUGGAAGUGCAGACGGAUAUAGUGCUAUAUAUUUCGUCUUGAUUGACUAGAAGUCUUUAACUGCUUAAGGUGAAUGCUAGUAGGGUUAUAUAAAUGAGCUCUAUUUAAAACUUCUUUUUGACGGGAUUAUGUUGAGCGACAUAUUGAAGCAGGGGAAGAAGAAGUACAAAGAUAUUGUUUUUGUGAGCAGAAGAAGGGGAUUCACUUAAAGAUAAUUAACUGAAAUCACCAGAAGAUAGAGGAUUGCUAGAUCUGGUGCCAUUUAUAGGUCAAGAAUGACAAUAUUGUUGCUUACUAUCUAUGAAAUGAAUAUUCAGACGAUCUUUGCGAUGGACUUCUGCUAGGACUCAUUAAUUUAACGUUGAAUAAAUGUCAAUGAACGAUUAAAGGGUGUGAUGAAUUAGCAAUCUUUACAGUAUCCUGGCUGGUAAUCAUGGAUUGAAAAAGAGUGGAGAAUGUGCUAAACUUGCAGGAGUCACAUAAAAAAUCCCUCAUUAGUUGCUACAUAAAGAUUCUUCUCUUUUGAGGAGACCAACGCGCCAUGGUUGAUUCUGCAGCAUAUGAGGUUUCUUCAUGUCAUAUCAAAUAGGUAUGUGAAAUUGAGGUUAAAUUUCCAUCUUAAAAAGUGGAACUAUUGCAAGUACAACACUGGUUAUGAAUGUAAGCAAACCAAAGUCCUGUAAGCUAUGUGGAUAUAUGUCUUUGUUUAGGGAAACAAACAUCAGAUGGACUCUUUGAGAAUUAGAAGAAUCAUAUGCAAAAUAAAUACAGACAAAUCGAGUAUUGGCCUAGAUAGAGCAGAAUGAUGUAGAGGAUUUAUAGGUAACUCAAAUCAGUUUGAGACUGACAUUAUUGUUGUGUUGUUGUUACUUGUUAGGAAGCUGCAGUUUCAACCUUAAUGAUGUAAGUCAUUUGUCUAUUAAACGUAGAAUUACAAGAUUUGUAUGGUUAGUCACCUAGCUCGUGUUCAUUACCAUGGCAACCUUGCUCUUCAAAUUGUAUGCUUUGACCAAACUGGAGAAAUUCCCUUGCUCCUUCCCUGUUGGAGUAGAUAAUAGUUGGUGUUGCAAUAGCACCCAAGGGUGUGGCCUAGUGGUUCAAUGAUGUUGGGUUGAGUACCAUGAGAUCUCAGGUUCAAUUCCCAACAAAGACAAUCACUAAGUGAUUUCUUCCCAUCUGUUCUAGCCUUGGUGGAUAGAGUUACCUGGUACUUGAUGCUGGUGGGAGGUGUCAGCUAUCUGUGGAAUUAUUCGAGGUGCGCGCAAGCUGGCCCGGUCACCACGGUUAUCAAAAAAAAAAAGUUGGUGUUGCAAUUAUAGUACGUUGUCAUAUCUGUUAUACAAAUUGUUGAGGUUGGAUAUCUGUCAUUGUAAUGGAUGACAUUGGUUCAUGAUUGACUAUGUUGUUUAAUAUUGUGAGCGGAAGUAGAGUGCUGCUUCGGAUUCAGUUACUGACAUUUCCCUGUGAGUUUGCUGCUUCCAAAGAUAAUACAAUGUCCGUUAGGAAGCUGUCGUAUGUUGAUCAUAACUUGAAGGAGCCUCUGUGUUAUGGAUGGUGUAGUAUUUUGUUUAAAACUUUUACAUUGAUGUCAAAAUGCUUCACUAAAUGUAAUACUCAUUGCCUUGGUUUUAUGUUAAAAUGCUUCGCUUCAAAAGUAAUACUAAUUAGCGACAUACUGAUUCUCUUCAUGAAAAGUUUCUCCCUAAUAUAAGGUCGCAUACUUGAUUUUCUUACGUUUAUUUCUCACAACUAUUGUGCAGACUCAUACAAAAAAGGAUAAAGAUGACCACACAGAAUCUGUAGCAUCACAGGAUGAAAUCUCUGUCGUGGUUGAACCUCCUCCCUACGGGACAAGCCACACUGUAUGUACUGAAUUUUUUCUAUUAAAAGAUGUGAUGUAUGAUGCAUUCAAACUUAGUUUACCUUGGAUCUAGGACCGUUAGAUUUGCAUAGUAAAUCUAGUUGGAGUAACCCUGAGUGUUUUACUUAUCAGUAUCUGUUCUCUAGAUGAAAGCUGAUGCAUGAAUCUCUUUUUAAAGAUUUUUUCACUUCUUGUUAAUUUCUUCAAUGUUUUUACUGGAAAUACGGAUCAAUUGACACUUUGACGCUGGAUUUUUUUUGUAACUAAAUAAUUGGAGCAUAGUAUCGUUGCGGAAAAUGAUGAUUUCUGAAAGAUUCACAAUUUUUUUAGUUCUUGUAAAAUCAGAAACAGAAAAUGUCUCUUUGGCUGUCGGAUGUCUGUGAUAACUUGUUAUGAUACUCACCUAGGUCCUCCCUGAUAAAGCAUACAACAUAAAGGCUAUGCUGAUCAAACAGAAGCAUACACUUUUCCUCUUACAAUUGAGAAUCCUCGAGAACUUAUGGUGCAUGAUUUGAGGCAGUGGAUAAUGUGAACUUCUUACAAUUGAGAAAUCCUUGAGCGCUAAUGGUGCACGAUUUCAAGCAGUGAAUGAUGUGCCCACCCCAAACACUCUUCACUUAAAUGACAGGUUUUUGUCUAUGUCAGGAUUCAAACCCAUGAAAUGUGCCUUACACAUACAUCAC
rnacentral:lncRNA from 1 species